rnacentral:rRNA from 1 species
GGAGAGUUUGAUUCUGGCUCAGAAUGAACGCUGGCGGCGUGCUUAACACAUGCAAGUCGAACGGAAUCCAAGGAGCUUGCUCNNNNNNNNNNGGGAGGGGCUCGCGGUCCAUCAGCUUGUUGGCGGGGUAAUGGCCCACCAAGGCAUCGACGGAUAGCUGGUCUGAGAGGACGAUCAGCCACACUGGAACUGAGACACGGUCCAGACUCCUACGGGAGGCAGCAGUGGGGAAUCUUGCGCAAUGGACGAAAGUCUGACGCAGCAACGCCGCGUGAGGGACGAAGGCUUUCUGAGUUGUAAACCUCUUUCGACAGGGACGAUAAUGACGGUACCUGUAGAAGAAGCACCGGCCAACUAUGUGCCAGCAGCCGCGGUGAUACAUAGGGUGCGAGCGUUAUUCGGAUUUAUUGGGCGUAAAGAGCUCGUAGGCGGUUCGAUAAGUCGGGUGUUAAAUCCACAGGCUCAACCUGUGGCAGCCAUCCGAAACUGUCGUGACUAGAGUUUGGUAGGGGAUCACGGAAUUCCUGGUGUAGCGGUGGAAUGCGCAGAUAUCAGGAGGAACACCAGCAGCGAAGGCGGUGAUCUGGGCCAAUACUGACGCUGAGGAGCGAAAGCGUGGGGAGCGAACAGGAUUAGAUACCCUGGUAGUCCACGCCGUAAACGGUGGGCACUAGGUGUGGGGACUUUUCAACGGUUUCCGCGCCGCAGCUAACGCAUUAAGUGCCCCGCCUGGGGAGUACGGUCGCAAGACUAAAACUCAAAGAAAUUGACGGGGGCCCGCACAAGCAGCGGAGCAUGUGGCUUAAUUCGAUGCAACGCGAAAAACCUUACCUAGAUUUGACAUGCUGGGAAAAGCCGUAGAGAUACGGUGUCCUUCGGGGCUCAGCACAGGUGGUGCAUGGCUGUCGUCAGCUCGUGUCGUGAGAUGUUGGGUUAAGUCCCGCAACGAGCGCAACCCUUGUUCUAUGUUGCCAGCACGUAAUGGUGGGGACUCGUAGAAGACUGCCGGGGUCAACUCGGAGGAAGGUGGGGACGACGUCAAGUCAUCAUGCCCCUUACGUCUAGGGCUGCACACAUGCUACAAUGGNNUCUCAGUUCAGAUUGCAGGCUGCAACUCGCCUGCAUGAAGUUGGAGUUGCUAGUAAUCCCGGAUCAGCAUUGCCGGGGUGAAUACGUUCCCGGGCCUUGUACACACCGCCCGUCAAACCACGAAAGU